rnacentral:lncRNA from 1 species
UAUUCCAUACUUGUUCUUUAGAAAAUAUGUUAAUUGCUAAUCCAUUCCUAUUCUCUUCUAAUAAAGUUGGAGAUUGAUAUUUUAUAAUUUAAAAUUGAUUUGUCAUUUACUGUAAUUUAAUUCUAAAAAUCAUGAUAUAAAAUUCUGAACAGAAAAGUUGCUAUCUUCCCAAUUCUUUUCAAAACAUCUUAGGUUUUGUCCACCCUUCUCCCAUUUUCUUUUUAAAUUUCAGUAAAUUAGGAGUAAAAUAUUAUGAAGUGUAGGUAGUAGUUCAAAUGGUUAAGCACUCAUUACUCAUUUUCUCUCUUUUUUCGGCAAAAAAGAUUAUUUGCCUAAAUAGCAGCCUAUUUAAACCAUUUUUCUAAUUAGCCUAAGAUUUUCAAUUCUCUGUCUUUUCAUCAAAAUUUUGUUCCAUUGCUGGAAAUUAUUCUUGAUUACCCCAAAUGAAAAUCUAUUCCCGAUUUUAACUUUUUUUCCAAUCGGAUUCGUGAUCACUCUUCGAUCGUUGCCAAUAACAGGUAAGAACAUUCCAAUCCCGAUGUUUAGAUCUUAAAUUCCUGUAGAAUUUCUUUUUACGUUAAAUUUAAGAUUGAUUAAAUGAUCUUUUAUGAAUCUUUCAAAAUCUUGAUUUUUCUUGAAAUUCAUUAUUAAUUAUUGUGUAAAUAUCGUUUGAAGAACCCGAUUUAGGUAUCUCAAAUUAGAUUAGAACAUGAGGAACGUUGCUUGAGACCCCGACGACAGGUGUGUGUUCUUUUACAAGAAAAUCGGGACAAAUCGUGCUUGAAAUAGGGCCAUACGACCAACCACACUUGUGGACCACAUAGCCCCUCACACGGCAUUGUCCCCCUAAAGCCCUAGGUUUUUCGAAUCGCACAUGACCUAAGACCCUCCACACAGUCAUAGUCUGUCAUAUAGCCUAGCCACACGAUCGUGUACCCCCUCCACAAGGUCUAAGGCAUUUCACAUGGUCAUGUGUCCCCUGUAUCUCAGAUUUUACAGUUUUGGCCCAAAAUUUUAUGUUAUGUUUAGUUUAUUCCCUAAUUUUUUUCGAACUAUUUUAGUAUAUUAUAUUAUUCAAUUAAGUCACCGAUAAUGUGAAAUAUGUUAGAAUCCAUAAAUUGGCUAACCAUAUUAAUAUGAUGUUUAUAUACAUUUGCAUGAAUUGUGAACAAUACGUAUGACUAUUGUUUCGGUGUCGGUGAUUGUAUGUAUAGUAUGCUUUAUGAAACUGUUAAACCGAUCACAUAAAAAGCAUGAUAUGUUCGAACAUGCCAUAUUGUAUUGCAUGGGGUGGGAUGUUAUGAACGACGGAAGUAUUGGCAAUUUAUCUGCAUUUAUUUUGUUGUGUACUCACAACCAUAUGUAGAUUCCAUCUGCGACGGUCUUGUUGUAUAUCCACAGCCAAAGGCAAAUUCCAUCUGCGGUAUUUUGUUGUGUGUCCAUAGCCAUUGAUGGUAAAACUGCAAACUAUUGGUGGUUAACCCACAACCUGGUGUGCUGGCAAUUGGAGUUCUAAGGAGCUCCUAUUGUAGUGUGUAGCGGUGGGGUAAGAUCGUUUCUAUUAAAAAUUGAUAUUGUAUGGCAUCUAUGAAAGUAUGUGCAUACAAACCUAGAAUUUCUAGUAGGAUAUAUUUAUAUCUACAUAUAUGAAUGAGUAAUUUGUGAAAUCAAUAUUUUGAUAUUGCUAUUGUGAAUUCUUGAUACUAAUGGUGGCUAAAUUAAGAAUUGAUAUUUCAAGCUGCUAUUAAAUUACGAUUAUUUUAUGCAUUAUUAAUUAAUAUGCCUUAUCGACUAUUGCACUAAUCUUCUUGUGAUUGAACUCACACUAAGCGUCAUAGCUCACCCUCCUUAAAUUUUCACAGAUAACCCAUCAGGUUAGGACGUGGACGCGACAUCCAGAGGGUCUCAGCUCGGCUUUGUUAAAAUAUCUUUAGAUACAUUAUUUGAUAUUUUAUUAUUCAAAGUUUGUAUUAUUAUUUUAAUUCAAACUGUGGCAUAGGACUUAGGAUUUGGGUUGCUAUUAUUUUACAUGACACCUAAUUUAAAAUUUUAAGAUAUCUUGUUAUGAUUAUUAAUUAGUAUGAAUUAACCUCCGUUUUUA